rnacentral:lncRNA from 1 species
GUGUGUGUGUGUGUGUGUGUGUGUGUGUGUGUGUGUGUGUUUGUGUGUGUGUGUGUGUGUGUGUGUGUGUGUUCUGUCUUCUCCAUCCCCAGUGAGUCAUGGAGGAUGACUGCUUAAGCCUGGUUUAUGCUUCUCCGUCAGCUCCGCAAGGGACAGACACGCACAGAUUGACGGAAGCGUUUUGCUCUCAUACUUCUCCGUCUCCUGGAGAGAGUUGCAAAGCAAUUGCCCGGCAGGACAACAGAGGGCGUAGCGCUGUUCUGUGGUACCCUGUCAUGUAUCGGUCCAAGGGAAAACAAGCCUUUCCAGCCCAUCGACGCAUCUUCACGUCUGUCUAGGAGGGGACUGAUCGCUGUGAUCACCCCCGCAGGAAGCCCACUCCCAGCUGAGUUGAAAGAUCCCUGGCUGUAGACGGUGCGGGGUCCAGUCCCGCGCGGCCCCGCCGUCACACAGCAUGCCGCCCACAGAGAGCCCUGCCCCGGCCGCUGAUUGAUGUGCAACCGCCUGUUGGCCCCUCGCAGCGGGGCCGUCAGAGAGGAGCGUCCUGGAUAAUUAUUAUGUUACUGAGGUGACAUUUACAACACAACACUGCGAGUUUAACUGACAUGUGAAAGGCUUAUUUCCUCUCCGUCUCUGCGGCAAAAAUUAAACUUGAAUAGUUUGUUUUCUCUUCUUUAUUCUCCAAUCAACAAGAAGACCGAAGGCUGACGCCCCAAACGUCAUAAAAGCUAUUUAUCACUCGGCCAGCACGCUCCACACUAAGUUUAUGACCCUAAAAUCAACGACAUGGUCCAUUAAAAAGUCUCCAAAUAGCUAAUAAUAAGUCCGUGUUUAUUGGAGGCCCAACAGUUCAGAUUUGAAAUAAGGCUCUUUAGUUUUUUAUUCCAAUCCUGCUGCAGGGAUGAGAGAGAAAAGGGCAGAAAGAGAACCAUUCGAGCUUCUUUAGUGUUUUGUGUGUAUGAUAAGAAGGAGGAGGAGUAAGGAGGAAGAGGGGGAGGAUGGGGGAGUGAGAGAUGGGUGGGGUGAGGGGGCAAGAGAUCCCGUCGCGUUUUGACCCCAGAAACCCUCCCCGCAACCCGCCUGGCCACCACCAGAGCGCUCCUCCCUCACAUCACCCCCCCCCUCCCCCUCCUCCUCCCCUCCAGACUCCAGACUGAAAACACCAUCGCUCAUCCCGGGCCGUGACAUUUCCCAGCCUGGCUUCUUCUGCUGCGUGGACAGCGAGCGCAAAGGGCCAAAAACAGAGAAAAGCCAGCAAGGGGCGAUAGGAGAGGAGGGGACGCCUCUGCGUGUCACCGAGCAUCCCCGACGCCCCGAAUCGGAGGGAGAGACGCACCAGGCGGAGGCGAGGCGCUACAGGAAGCCGCUGCUCCCUUCACCACCCGCUCCCUGGACUACCGGACUCAACCAGAACCGGACUGGAUUUUUACGUCUCGGUGGGACAUCUAUACACACAUUACCGGAUCUUCACCAACCAAUAGCGCCUAUAGACCGCGGGGUUUAUUCCCUUUAAGCUAUUAGGCUCUCAGACAGGCAGCGGGCUGGGAGCUGAUCAUCCGUCCAUAAAGCCUCCAUCCCGUCAUCAUGUUGUAAGAUAAACGCGAUGGAUGGACAGGGAGUAAACACGCAGCAGGAGCGGCUCCUUGACUCCUCGCGGGCUGUCGCAUGUUCAUCAUCAUGAUGCUCGUAACUUAAUUACUGGUUGAGAAAAGAAAAGAAAA